CGGGAAUGUGCCACAUCAUGGGAUUCGGUCAAGUUACUGCCGCGCGAGUGAGUGACAGAGUCAGCAGUAUUAAAGCCAGAAGAAAGAAAAGGAUUCAGAGAUGGUGGAACCAUAUGAUAGAAGGGUCAACAUUCCAGAGUCGCCACUUGGUGUAGAACCCAGGUGAAUUACCUGUCGCCCAAUCCAGGGUCAGCGAAGUAUGACCUGAGUCACUGGGUUCCCAGGAACCACAGCCAACAGCGUCCCCCUGGAAGAACUGCCUUCCUGGCUUGCCGUGGGUACAAAGCACAGCCUUCAUUUUCAUUGCUUUGUUCAUCUGAAACCUGGUGGACUAGUGACCCAGCCACGACUCCCAAGCUGGACCCAGGUUGGCUUUGACGCGGCUGUUGGAGACUCCACCCCAGGGACUUUCCUUUCCCAGAUUCUUCAUUAACUUACUCUGAGCUGACUUCCUCUUUCUCUUGCAGCAUAAAAAUGAAUUGGAAAAACAAAUAUCACCUCUAAGUUUCACUGAUGCUACUUUAAUUAAACGCACAUUACCUUGGGGAUUUUUUAAACGUUCCAUCUCAAAACGGUAGAGACACGAGCAGCGUGGAAACCACAUCUCCUUCCACUCCUCUCACCUCCUUUUGGACGUGGCAGAUUGAAUUUUGGCUGAGUCUGUGUCAAAAUUCAGACACUUGGCCACGGUUAAUCUCUCACUGCUACUGCAAAGGCAGUAAUAACAACCAGCUGAGUGAAGAAUGAAGCCCAGACUUGGAAAACAAGCAGAGCCACCCCUUGGUGAGGUCUUGCUACUCGGCAAUACUUGUUACGGGAGCCCUGGUGGGAGGGGUGGUGUCUGGGGUCCGGGGUCCUGGCACAGCUGUGUCAGAGGCCGCUCAGCUCCCUGACUCAGAUGUGCCAGAUCACCCUUCCACUAGUUUGCGAAGGUAUGUCUGAGAUGGAGACAAUAAAGGAUUCAGAAGUGAAGUUUGGAGUAUAGUUUGCCCUGUUAUUGUCUCAAAGGACCAAAGUAGCAGAAGAACAAAGUCAGUCCAAGUUUAAUACUUUAAAGCCAAUGUAUUUCUUAAUAAGAAUAUGAGUGGAAAACAAAACAACUUAGCCAAUAUUCUCCCAACUGCCAUAAUCCCUCAGCUCAGGGAGAAAUUCCACCCCAAAAAUAACAACAAAGAAAAUCCAAAUGAAUACGGACCAAAGCCAGCCUCCCCCACCAGGUGAGUAUUUCCAUGGGUGAUGGGCCUUGGAUGAAGUCCAGUCCCGUUGGCGGACGCACGGUGCACUGGCCUCGGCAGCCUCUGCUCCCCACACAGGGCGCCCGGACGUGGGACAGAAGCCAGCUCCUGGCUGCAGAUUGACACCUAGUUUCCUCAUGCAGGUGGAUCUCUCUCUAAACAUGUGUGCACAAUAAAUACUACAUAUUCCUUCAACAAGCAAGUGAGAGGGACAGGGAGAGAGAGGAUGGCAGGAUUGAUUCAAGAGAACAUUUCACAACGUACAUGAAAAAUUUUAGUGGGUUGGGUUCCAUAUGUAAACAUUUUUCAGUCUGUGUUAGAUCUUUAGAACAGCUCCCUGGGUAACAUUUUUGACCCGUGAUAUAUAGGGCAGUGUCUCCCCCCAGCCCGAGAAUAAGACAUGAAUGAGACCUUGAGAGCUAGAAUAAUAAUUAUCUUCCCCCCAGUGAGCUAAUGUAUGUAAUUUCCAUGUUUUAACGCAAUAACAGUUGACUCUUAUUUGGAGUUCUAAAUAAAUAUAUUUUGUUAAUUAUAUACUUUAAAAUUAGCAUGAAAGUUUUCUCAGGACAGAGUUUUCCAUCUUCUUCCAAUUUUGAGGAGGGGGAAUUGAGGAGGAAGAGGGUCCCACUGGGUUUUCUUCAUCCUGCUCUGGCCAUGGAGCCACCCUGAGUCUCACUGACUGUUUCCUUAGCCUCGGUGAAAACAGUCACGUGAAUUCAUAAAUUUUUGAGUAGUCAAAGGUAUCAGGUUUAGCUAGUCAGAUGUUGUCCCUUAAAAUAUUUUGAGAAGUGUCUGUGCCUCUUUUGGUGCAUAAGACACAGGGGUGCUUUCCAUGCAUGGUUUCAUCUUUUCCCUGCAAACAGCUUCUAGAUUAAAUUCUCUUUAAUCUCUGCUUUUACUAUAUCCUGUUCUAAACCUUUGGAUAACUAGCUGUUUAUCAUAGGGUAAAACCAAACCUUCUUGAUUUUCAGAGUCUGUAGCAGGUUCAUUUCUACCCACUGCCAUGUGACUCGUGGGGCCUCCCUCUAAGGGGCUUCAUGAUUGGGCCACAUCCUGUGACCUUCUGGGGUCCUUGCCCUGCGUGUGGAAGAGUGUCAGCCCCAGGGGAGGUCUGACAAGGCAUGGGCUCGUAGAAGCAGAAGGACGUGCUUCUGUCCCGAGGCUGGUCCUCCAGCCGGUCUUGUGGGUCACCUGCCACUCACCUCACAGCUACAUGACCACGUGAGCAAGAAGAAGUUGUUCCCAGUCCUCAGAGCCCAGUCAUUUGUGGGCUCAGCAAAGCCAACUGUCCAGCUCGGUGGCCCUGAUUCCUUUCCAUGGGAACAGGCCAGAAGAUCAUUCCAGGCUCUUUUUAAAAAAUUAUUUAAGUCAGAACAUGAUUCCGGAACUGAUUUUAGUGGAAGCUGGUAUAAGAAAAUGCUCUAUGUAGUAAUGAAAUCUAACACCCACAUCGAUAAUAAAAUAGGUGCAUUUGUGUAUAUUUUCAUAAACACGUCAUUUCCUGAACGGUGUCUGCCUCCUUCUCUCUCCCCCAAAGCUGGAAUGAGUCAGGUUUGCUUCACUGUUGAAUCAUCAAGAAGUGGGAGGAGGUGCUUGGGAGCAGGAGGCUCACAUUCAACACGCAUCGGCUCGUGAAGCCAUACGAUGAGCAGGUCUCACCCUCUGGAGUUUGCCAGGCGUCUCCUGUCCCCUCCCCACACUGUCCUCUUUGGAAGGGGGUCACUGUGCACAGCCCACGCUUGGGAGCAUCUUCAUAAGUUACUUGGAAUUCUUGUGCAUGGGUUGGUCUACUCUCCCCCCUUUGUUUAUUCCAUCGUGUGUUUAUAUCAGCGUGGACUGGUGGGUAUUUAUUUUAUGCUCUGGAUUAUGAUCCAACACGACUUUAUUUUGUUGUUCAAACUGUCUCAGCUUUGAUCACUGGGGGCUCCUUCAGUUGGCUCCUGGGUCCCUUUGACCUGCUCCGUCUUUACCUUCUGACAUUAUAAGAAGCUCCAGACUCAUCCUGUACAAUUCCUGCUGCAGUCAGUCUUAGAAUCAGUCAUUUCUCCAAGGAGCCCUGGUGGCUUUUCAUGGAGAAUGGAGUUUAGACACCAAGGUCUGGGCACUGGGUGGGUGUUGUGGCUGGUGAGGCGCCACUGCCUCUAAGUCAUCUUGGCUGACAGAGAGGAGACGGGUGAGUGUGUAGUGAUGGUACAGGCACACUGGCUCCUAUGUUAGAUCCAUCACACGUGUAACAUAUUUGCACUUCUUCUCUGCGUAUCCAUCAGUCUCUGGAGUAAGUGAGACAUGAGUUCAGCCUGAUGGUUGUGGCUCUGACUGCACCACCUGGGUUAUUCUAGUGGCCUUUCUGUUAUUUUACUUUUGAAUCUCACAUCUCUGCUUUUCUUAGCAGGAAGCAUAUCCAUGUACUUUUUUCUUCCCUAAUAACUUGAGGAACAU